rnacentral:sRNA from 1 species
UUUUAGCCCUGAUUGCAGCAAGUAUCCUUUUUUUUAAUAGAGUGUCUUGAUUGCGCCCGGUGUGAUAAAAAAAGAUACUGCGGAAAGCGGGAAACAGC